rnacentral:rRNA from 1 species
AGCGAACGCUGGCGGCAGGCCUAACACAUGCAAGUCGAACGCACCUUCGGGUGAGUGGCGGACGGGUGAGUAACACGUGGGAACGUACCUUUAGGUUCGGAAUAACGCAGGGAAACUUGCGCUAAUACCGAAUGUGCCCUUCGGGGAAGGAUUAUCGCCUUAGUAGCGGCCCGCCGUUAGAUUAGCUAGUUGGUGAGGUAAUGGCCCACCCAAGGCUACGAUCUAUAGCUGGUCUGAGAGGANGAUCAGCCACCACUGGGACGUGAGACA